GACGAACGCUGGCGGCGUGCCUAAUACAUGCAAGUCGAACGCAGUGGGGACGGGUGAGUAACACGUGGGUAACCUCCCAUCAGAGGGGAUAACACUUGGAAACAGGUGCUAAACCGAUACUGAUGGAUGAACCCGCGGUGCAUUAGCUAGUUGGUGAGGUAACGGCUCACCAAGGCCACGAUGCAUAGCCGACCGGAGAGGUGGAUCGGCCACACUGGGACGGAGACACGGUAUAGACUCCAAAGGGAGGCAGCAGUAGGGAAGCGUCGGCAAUGGACGAAAGGCUGACCGAGCAACGCAGCGUGAAUGAAGAAGGUUUUCGGAGGGUAAAGCGCUGUUGUUGGGGAAGCGGUAUCCAAACAAAAAGCCACGGCUAACUACGUGCCAGCAGCCGCGGUAAUUC
rnacentral:rRNA from 1 species